UACGUAGGGUGCGAGCGUUAAUCGGAAUUACUGGGCGUAAAGCGUGCGCAGGCGGUUCGUUAAGUUCGAUGUGAAAGCCCCGGGCUCAACCUGGGAACUGCAUUGGAAACUGGCGAGCUUGAGUAUGGCAGAGGGGGGGUGGAAUUCCGCGUGUAGCAGUGAAAUGCGUAGAGAUGCGGAGGAACACCGAUGGCGAAAGGC
rnacentral:rRNA from 1 species